CACAUGGCUUUCUAGUAUUCCCCCCCUUUUAUGGACAAAACGUAUUCUGUUUUGUCCUUUUUU
rfam:Bacillus manliponensis strain JCM 15802 contig40, whole genome shotgun sequence.